rnacentral:tRNA from 1 species
UGGGAUAUGGUUCAGUGGUAGAUCACUUGUCUGGUAUACGUGAGGCCCUGGAUUUGAUCCCCAGUACUGUAA